CGUGGAGGCCUGGGCUGCGGGUCCCCGACCGUGUGAGCAGCCGGUGGCCAUCUGUCCCGGCCCGAGUGGAGAAAGCGCAUCUGCCUGCGGAAGGUCCACGUGCUGCUGGGCGAGGCUGGCGAGAGCCGUCACACACACGCGGGGCCGCUGGCGGCAGAUGGACGUUUCCGAAGGGAGCCGGCAGGAGCCUGACGUCUGCCCUCUGAGGCCAGGGCCUCCCCCGUCACUAUUUUCUCACGGUACCGAAGCGAAAGUUGCCUGCAAUACCUCUUAGACUAGGUUGAAGUCCUGAAUUCAGGCUGCAGCCCUCAAUCAACAGAACUUCUGCCCAGGUGCUGCCAAGAUUUUGGGGAGAACAAGAGGCCCUUGCCCGGCGUGUCCAGAGCAAGUGGCAUCAUGCCCACGAUGGCGCAGGGUCAUGGGAUGUGGCCCGAGGAGCCCAUAACUGGCACCGGUCAACAAGAGCCCCAGAGACACAGGGUGGGCCUGCCAGGGACCCUCAGGGACCACCAGGGCCUGGAGGCUCCAGCGUAGACGAGCUGGGCGGCUCUGGACGGCAGGGGAUGGGGCCCCCUGUGCAUGGCCCCUGGCAAGGUGCCUGGCUGGCCGUCCAUCCGUGGGGUGAGCUCGGCCCAGGCGGGCAGGGUCCCUCCAGGUGGGCAUGAGUGUUGCUGGCUCCCGAGCCUUGGAGAAGCUCUGCCCAUUCCACAGCCGUCAGGCCGGGGGCCAGAGGGAAGCCGCUCCUUCCCGGCCCGAGGCUGCCCCUCAGGAGCCCACUCGGCCGAUGCCACCUUGUCAGUCCAGCCAGCGGGGCCUCCCCUGUGGCCUUCAAAGCCACAGGCCUCUUUCUAGAAACCUCUUUGCAGUUCAUUUGUGGCGAUUUAUCCCUGGAUGGGUUCUCAUGGAUUCUAUCCUUCUUCUCCACCCGACUUUUCUCUAGGUCAAGUGCUGACCCCAGCCAGGCAGAGGCAAAGAUGCCCCGACGCACAGCCUGUCCUGCCCGUGACCGCAUCCACCCUGGGGACCCAUGUUUGGCCCAGAGGCUCGAGCACAGGUGGCCGCGUCCCACGGGAGCGUCAAGCCAUGAGUCUUGGUCGUCCCCUUGGGACCAAGGAGAAGCAGUGACUCCGUGGCCCCCACCAGCUGCGGCUCCGACAUCCUUCCAGGAGGCAGGCAGGGUCCCGACUGCAUUUCAGGCACCUGCCUGGCCGCGUUCCGGCUGCCCUGACCUUCCCUGCAGACUUGUGGCCUGCUGGGGUCAGAGAGCACCAGUGACCGCUCCACCCCUUGCAGACAAGGAAGCUGAGGCUGAGGGACAUGGGGACCCUGCCAGUGGGGACGCGGGAAGCAGGGCUGGCUUUGCUCCUGGCAAGCUCUACCCCAGACCGACACAGAGAAAGCAGUUUCCCUUUCUCAACAGAACACACUUGAGGCCCGGAAGCAAGUGGAUCUGUGCAGGAGGGUGGGGACGGGAAUGGCACAGGGGUGCAGGCGCUGCCUCGGUGUCUUCCGGCCCUCGGUCCCAGCUCGGGGUCCCUCCCAGGUUGGCUCAGAGGCCGCUGCCCCAGCAGCCUGCAUUUGUGUGCCAAGCCCUCCUCACUCAGCAAUGACUGGCUGCCUGUGGUGGGGGCCGAGCAGGGCGUUCUCCGCAUUUACAGAACAAGUAAACUGAGGCUCCAGCCCCUGCCGCCACUACCAGAGGAGUCAGAGGCUCCUGGGGAGCAGACCGUGGCUGCCCAACCAGGCUGGGAGCAGAAAAGAGGGAGGGAUCUUUGGAGCGGCUGAGGGUGCGGCCUGGAGCCCUGGCAGCCCCGCUCAUCCCAAACGCUGCUACGUGUGCAGAACCCCGCGGGGAGCAGAUGACGGCCACGCGGUGUUACAAAGCUUUCUGUAAAUAUUUUAUUUUCCAUAUUUUAGAGUCAGAAAGAAGCGCUUGGUAAUAAAAAUAA